rfam:Thermoplasmatales archaeon E-plasma genomic scaffold AMDT2_EPLS00003, whole genome shotgun sequence.
GCUCCGGUGGUGUAGCCAGGUCAAGCAUAAGGGACUCUCAAUCCCUCGACUCGGGUCCAAAUCCCGGCCGGAGCA